CAGCCGCCACGGGAACACGGAGGGUGCAAGCGUUAAUCGGAAUUACUGGGCGUAAAGCGCACGCAGGCGGUCUGUCAAGUCAGAUGUGAAAUCCCCGGGCUUAACCUGGGAACUGCAUUUGAAACUGGCAGGCUAGAGUCUUGUAGAGGGGGGUAGAAUUCCAGGUGUAGCGGUGAAAUGCGUAGAGAUCUGGAGGAAUACCGGUGGCGAAGGCGGCCCCCUGGACAAAGACUGACGCUCAGGUGCGAAAGCGUGGGGAGCAAACAGGAUUAGAUACCCCUGUAGUCCCUGUCUCUUAUAA
rnacentral:rRNA from 1 species